rnacentral:rRNA from 1 species
GAUGAACGCUAGCUACAGGCUUAACACAUGCAAGUCGAGGGGCAUCAGGAAGAAAGCUUGCUUUCUUUGCUGGCGACCGGCGCACGGGUGAGUAACACGUAUCCAACCUGCCCUUUACUCGGGGAUAGCCUUUCGAAAGAAAGAUUAAUACCCGAUAGCAUAAUGAUUCCGCAUGGUUUCAUUAUUAAAGGAUUCCGGUAAAGGAUGGGGAUGCGUUCCAUUAGGUUGUUGGUGAGGUAACGGCCCACCAAGCCUUCGAUGGAUAGGGGUUCUGAGAGGAAGGUCCCCCACAUUGGAACUGAGACACGGUCCAAACUCCUACGGGAGGCAGCAGUGAGGAAUAUUGGUCAAUGGGCGUUAGCCUGAACCAGCCAAGUAGCGUGAAGGAUGAUGGCUCUAUGGGUCGUAAACUUCUUUUAUAUAAGAAUAAAGUGCAGUAUGUAUACUGUUUUGUAUGUAUUAUAUGAAUAAGGAUCGGCUAACUCCGUGCCAGCAGCCGCGGUAAUACGGAGGAUCCGAGCGUUAUCCGGAUUUAUUGGGUUUAAAGGGAGCGUAGGUGGACUGGUAAGUCAGUUGUGAAAGUUUGCGGCUCAACCGUAAAAUUGCAGUUGAUACUGUCAGUCUUGAGUACAGUAGAGGUGGGCGGAAUUCGUGGUGUAGCGGUGAAAUGCUUAGAUAUCACGAAGAACUCCGAUUGCGAAGGCA